GAUGAACGCUGGCGGCGUGCCUAAUACAUGCAAGUCGAGCGAACAGACGAGGAGCUUGCUCCUCUGACGUUAGCGGCGGACGGGUGAGUAACACGUGGAUAACCUACCUAUAAGACUGGGAUAACUUCGGGAAACCGGAGCUAAUACCGGAUAAUAUAUUGAACCGCAUGGUUCAAUAGUGAAAGACGGUUUUGCUGUCACUUAUAGAUGGAUCCGCGCCGCAUUAGCUAGUUGGUAAGGUAACGGCUUACCAAGGCAACGAUGCGUAGCCGACCUGAGAGGGUGAUCGGCCACACUGGAACUGAGACACGGUCCAGACUCCUACGGGAGGCAGCAGUAGGGAAUCUUCCGCAAUGGGCGAAUGCUUGACGGAGCCACGCCGCGUGAGUGAUGAAUGUCUUCGGAUCGUAAAACUCUGUUAUUAGGGAAGAACAAAUGUGUAAGUAACUAUGCACGUCUUGACGGUACCUACUCAGAAAGCCACGGCUAACUACGU
rnacentral:rRNA from 1 species